UUAAAUUGAAGAGUUUGAUCAUGGCUCAGAUUGAACGCUGGCGGCAGGCCUAACACAUGCAAGUCGAGCGGAAACGACAC
rnacentral:rRNA from 1 species